rnacentral:rRNA from 1 species
AUUGAACGCUGGCGGCAGGCCUAACACAUGCAAGUCGAGCGGAGCGGGGGACGGGGGAGUAAUGCCUAGGAAUCUGCCUGGUAGUGGGGGAUAAAGUACGGAAACGGGCGCUAAUACCGCAUACUAUCAGAUGAGUCUAGGUGGGAUGAGCUAGUUGGUUGGGUAAAGGCCUACCAAGGCGACGAGCCGUAACUGGUCUGAGAGGAUGAUCAGUCACACUGGAACUGAGACACGGUCCAGACUCCUACGGGAGGCAGCAGUGGGGAAUAUUGGACAAUGGGCGAAAGCCUGAUCCAGCCAUGCCGCGUGUGUGAAGAAGGUCUUCGGAUUGUAAAGCACUUUAAGUUGGGAGGCGUUACCGACAGAAUAAGCACCGGCUAACUUCGUGCCAGCCGCCGCGGUAAUUC